CAUGGCUGACAUUCUCAUAAUUAAACAGUGUUAAUAAUAAAGCUUUGCAGAUUUUAAACAAACUGGCACAGAGGUGGAACGGUUUGCCGUAUUUCAUUUAGAGACCACAGCAAUUAGCCCUUAAUGAACAGUACACAGCGACAUAUAAGGGAGUUAUUUCUACACAUCGUUCAUUUGCCAAAUCACAAAAGGCGACAUUUUCAUUCUGCUGAUUGAAAAUGAUUCUCAGGAUUUCUUCUGAAGGCCUCUUAAGUAAUUGCA
rnacentral:lncRNA from 1 species